GAUGAACGCUGGCGGCGUGCUUAACACAUGCAAGUCGAACGGUGAACGAGGGAGCUUGCUCCCUCCGGAUCAGUGGCGAACGGGUGAGUAACACGUGAGCAAUCUGCCCUGGACUCUGGGAUAAGCGUUGGAAACGACGUCUAUUACCGGAUACGAGACGCGAAGGCAUCUUCAGCGUCUGGAAAGAACUUCGGUCCAGGAUGAGCUCGCGGCCUAUCAGGUAGUUGGUGAGGUAACGGCUCACCAAGCCUACGACGGGUAGCCGGCCUGAGAGGGUGACCGGCCACACUGGGACUGAGACACGGCCCAGACUCCUACGGGAGGCAGCAGUGGGGAAUAUUGCACAAUGGGCGCAAGCCUGAUGCAGCGACGCCGCGUGAGGGACGACGGCCUUCGGGUUGUAAACCUCUUUUAGCAGGGAAGAAGCGAAAGUGACGGUACCUGCAGAAAAAGCACCGGCUAACUACGUGCCAGCCGCCGCGGUAAUAC
rnacentral:rRNA from 1 species